CGGUGAUAUAGGGCACGGCCUUGCGCCGCUCCUCGCUGCAAGAAACGAUGUUCAUAACAGGUGAAGCAUACAAACGAUCAGGAAAUACAGAAAUGAACAGAAAAAUUCAGAAAACGAACAGAAUGUAAAUAUCUGUGAUGAUCCGUGAUGUAGGGAACGAUUGACAUGGCCUUGCCGGUCCUUGCUGACCGCAGACCACCCCCUGACCCUAGAGUUCCGCGAUGGCGGCGGCGGCGUCCUCCAACAACCACGCCCUCCCUCAAGUCCUGCCCUGACGUGAACAUCAUCCUAAUUAACAAAGAUAAAUUUAGUAGCACACAUGCAACAUAAGUUGGUAAUAGCUUGUUUGAAAAAUAACACAAAUACUUCAACGACAGUGAACCUGAAGCAAAUGUUAACCAACAUGGAGGAGUAUAGGAACCUUCUUUAGGUGUUCAGAUUACAACGGGUAGUCCGGUUCAUCGUCAGCAUCUGAGUCAUGCCGUGGGAUCCGCAAGCUACAUCUGCUGUGUUGGCGACAUCAUCGUCGAAGAGAAGUACCUGAUCCUCACCAUAAGAGCAACCAGGAAACAUCCAUUGACUCGAU
rnacentral:lncRNA from 1 species